rnacentral:rRNA from 1 species
AUUGAACGCUGGCGGCAGGCUUAACACAUGCAAGUCGAGCGGAGAUGAGGUGCUUGCACCUUAUCUUAGCGGCGGACGGGUGAGUAAUACUUAGGAAUCUGCCUAUUAGUGGGGGACAACAUCUCGAAAGGGAUGCUAAUACCGCAUACGCCCUACGGGGGAAAGCAGGGGAUCACUUGUGACCUUGCGCUAAUAGAUGAGCCUAAGUCAGAUUAGCUAGUUGGUGGGGUAAAGGCCUACCAAGGCGACGAUCUGUAACGGGUCUGAGAGGAUGAUCCGUCACACUGGGACUGAGACACGGCCCAGACUCCUACGGGAGGCAGCAGUGGGGAAUAUUGGACAAUGGGGGGAACCCUGAUCCAGCCAUGCCGCGUGUGUGAAGAAGGCCUUUUGGUUGUAAAGCACUUUAAGCGAGGAGGAGGCUCCCUAGACUUAUACUCUAGGAGAGUGGACGUUACUCGCAGAAUAAGCACCGGCUAACUCUGUGCCAGCAGCCGCGGUAAUACAGAGGGUGCAAGCGUUAAUCGGAUUUACUGGGCGUAAAGGGUACGUAGGUGGUCUUUUAAGUCGGAUGUGAAAUCCCUGAGCUUAACUUAGGAAUUGCAUUCGAUACUGAGAGACUAGAGUAUGGGAGAGGAUGGUAGAAU